rnacentral:rRNA from 1 species
AGUGAGGAAUAUUGGUCAAUGGGCGAGAGCCUGAACCAGCCAUCCCGCGUGCAGGAAGAAUGCCCUAUGGGUUGUAAACUGCUUUUUCGCAUGAAGAACACCUCUGACGUGUCAGAGGCUGACGGUAAUGCGUGAAUAAGCACCGGCUAACUCCGUGCCAGCAGCCGCGGUAAUACGGAGGGUGCAAGCGUUAUCCGGAUUUAUUGGGUUUAAAGGGUGCGUAGGCGGCGAUUUAAGUCAGUGGUGAAAUCCUGCAGCUCAACUGUAGAACAGCCAUUGAAACUGAAUUGCUUGAGUAAUCUUGAGGUAGGCGGAAUGUGUAGUGUAGCGGUGAAAUGCUUAGAUAUUACACAGAACACCGAUUGCGAAGGCAGCUUACUAAGGAUUUACUGACGCUGAUGCACGAAAGCGUGGGGAUCAAACAGGAUUAGAUACCCUGGUAGUCCACGCCGUAAACGAUGAUAACUCGCUGUUGGCGAUAUACAGUCAGC